AACGUACGCUGGCGGCACGCCUAACACAUGCAAGUCGAACGCAGUAGCAAUACUGAGUGGCAAACGGGUGAGUAUAAUGUGGGAAUCUGCCUUUUGGUUUGGAAUAACACGGGGAAACUUGUGCUAAUACCAAAUAAGCCCUUACGGGGAAAGUUUUAACGCCGAAAGAUGAGCCUGCACUUGAUUAGCUAGUUGGUAAGGUAAAGGCUUACCAAGGCAACGAUCAAUAGCUGUUCUUAGAGGAAGACCAGCCACAUUGGGACUGAGACACGGCCCAGACUCCUACGGGAGGCAGCAGUGGGGAAUCUUGCACAAUGGGGGAAACCCUGAUGCAGCGAUGCCGCGUGAGUGAAGAAGGCCUUUGGGUUGUAAAACUCUUUCGUCGGGGAAGAAAAUGACUGUACCCGAAUAAGAAGGUCCGGCUAACUUCGUGCCAGCAGCCGCGGUAAUACGAAGGGACCUAGCGUAGUUCGGAAUUACUGGGCUUAAAGAGCUCGUAGGUGGUUAAAAAGUUGAUGGUGAAAUCCCAAGGCUCAACCUUGGAACUGCCAUCAAAACUUUUUAGCUAGAGUGUGAUAGAGGUAAGUGGAAUUUCUAGUGUAGAGGUGAAAUUCGUAGAUAUUAGAAAGAACACCAAAUGCGAAGGCAACUUACUGGGUCACUACUGACACUGAGGAGCGAAAGCAUGGGUAGCGAAGAGGAUUAGAUACCCUCGUAGUCCAUGCCGUAAACGAUGUGUGCUAGACGUUGGGAAUAUAUUUUUCAGUGUCGCAGCGAAAGCAUUAAGCACACCGCCUGGGGAGUACGACCGCAAGGUUAAAACUCAAAUGAAUUGACGGGGACCCGCACAAGCAGUGGAGCAUGUGGUUUAAUUCGAAGAUACGCGCAGAACCUUACCAACACUUGACAUGUUCGUCGCGAGACUAAGAGAU
rnacentral:rRNA from 1 species